rnacentral:rRNA from 1 species
GAUCAUGGCUCAGGACGAACGCUGGCGGCGCGCCUAACACAUGCAAGUCGAACGAGAGAGAAGGAGCUUGCUUCUUCGAUCGAGUGGCGAACGGGUGAGUAACGCGUGAGGAACCUGCCUCAAAGAGGGGGACAACAGUUGGAAACGACUGCUAAUACCGCAUAAGCCCACGGGUCGGCAUCGAUCUGAGGGAAAAGGAAGGCGAUCGCUU